CUCAGAAUAAGGUCACAGACUGGGGGAACACCCAGGCAUUAUGCCAAAGAAAGGACAGGAGGUGUGACCGGCCACAGGGUGGGGAAGGCUGGGUUAUAUGUCCCUUUUGGACAGCAGAGUGGGCCACAGGCCACAGGUGGGAGAUGUCAAUGAGCUGAGUCAGAGAACCACGCUUGUUUGGGCAGGGGCAGGGAGUGUGUCUCUUCUGUUCUCCAAGAAGCAGACAUGGAGAUGGAAUGAGACAGGCUGUCUCCGGAAGAGAGCAGAAGCUGCCACUUGGAGCCAUCCCUCACUAUGUGGACCUUGGGAGUCCCUGUCCCUCCCCAUACCAAGGAGCCACCUGGAGGGGCCGUUGGGAAUCAGCCCAGGAGGGAAACGCCUGGCUGUCUGGCUUUGGAGGGCGGUUCUCAUCUGAGAUGGGGGCAAGUGCAUCUACAGAACCAGCCAGGCAGAGCGUCCACCUUGCAUCCCAGAUCCCUGAGGAAGCUCACGUGACUCCAGCUGUCGCCACCCCCUGGGCACCUGUGCACUCUGCCUAUGGAGCCCAACCUGCAAUUGACCCAACCCUCUGGCCUGUCAUGGGAGCCCGCUGUGCUGUCCACCCCUGCACGGGGUACCCAGCCCCUUGGAGUUACCCGUGGGUGCCCGUUGGCAGUCCUCUCUUGCAUCCCAGAUCCCUGAGGAAGCUCACGUGACUCCAGCUGUCGCCACCCCCUGGGCACCUGUGCACUCUGCCUAUGGAGCCCAACCUGCAAUUGACCCAACCCUCUGGCCUGUCAUGGGAGCCCGCUGUGCUGUCCACCCCUGCACGGGGUACCCAGCCCCUUGGAGUUACCCGUGGGUGCCCGUUGGCAGUCCUCUCUUCUGNCUCUGGCUACUCUCCCCAGGUGGGAUGGCAGGCUCCUGCCAGCUCAGCCUUCCCAGCUGCCAUGUGGAGACCAUCCAGAGGAGCUCCUCACUUGAAGAGGUGCCAAGCCCCUCCCUCAGAAUGGGCUUCCAGGUUCAGCAUUUGGGCCCCUGCACCACCCUCCAGCCCAGAACUCUGCUCCCUGCCCCCUUCCCCCAGUACAGACUGUCCACCUGAGCCCUGCUGUCCCCACUGCCCUCGGCCACCCUGCAGGGCCUGCCGCCGCCUCUUCUAGCCCCGAGGUGUUGUUGGGCGCCUCCCACUCCAACACUUAGGGAGCCGUGGGAUCCAGUGAGUGCAAUGUUUAUUUUAAUGUAACAUCUGCCCUACUGUAAUGCAUAGAGGUAAAGCAUGCAUUCAUAUAAAUUAUUUAAUGGUGACUGUGUUUUUGAAAUGGAA
rnacentral:lncRNA from 1 species